rnacentral:rRNA from 1 species
AGUCAGAUGCUGCAGACCCGAAACGAAGUGAUCUAUCCAUGAGCAGCUUGAAGCUAGUGUAAGAACUAGUGGAGGAGCGAACCCGCUAGCGUUGAAAAGCUAUGGGAUGACUUGUGGAUAGGGGUGAAAGGCCAAUCAAACUUCGUGAUAGCUGGUUCUCUCCGAAAUAUAUUUAGGUAUAGCGUUGUGUCGUAAUAUAAGGGGGUAGAGCACUGAAUGGGCUAGGGCAUACACCAAUGUACCAAACCCUAUCAAACUCCGAAUACCUUAUGUGUAAUCACAGCAGUCAGGCGGCGAGUGAUAAAAUCCGUCGUCAAGAGGGAAACAACCCAGACUACCCGCUAAGGUCCCCAAAUCUUACUUAAGUGGAAAACGAUGUGAAGUUACUUAAACAACCAGGAGGUUGGCUUAGAAGCAGCCAUCCUUUAAAGAAAGCGUAAUAGCUCACUGGUCUAGUGAUUUUGCGCGGAAAAUAUAACGGGGCUAAAGUAAGUACCGAAGCGGUAGGCUUGUGCUUAAUCAAAUUCUUUAAGACAAGGGCAAAAACCCUAACGAAUUUAAGAAAGCUAAGAAGUUAAAUGCAAAUUUUUGUUUUAAAUUUUAAGUUUUAACUUUUAAAUUUGAAUUUCAAAAAAAGAAAAAAAACUUAACUUUGAAACUUAAAUUUGAAAGAAAAAGAAUUUAAAUUUGAAAUUUCAAAAAAAAAUAAAUUUCAAAAAUAAAUUUAAAAUCCUUAAAUUCAAAAUUUAACUUUCAAAAAAAGAAAAAAUUCAAAAAGAAUUUGCUUAAGCACAAGCGGUAGGAGAGCGUUCUAUUUGCGCCGAAGGUAUACCGGUAAGGAGUGCUGGAGCGGAUAGAAGUGAGCAUGCAGGCAUGAGUAGCGAUAAUUAAUGUGAGAAUCAUUAACGCCGUAAACCCA